UUUUACAAUGGAGAGUUUGAUCCUGGCUCAGGAUGAACGCUAGCGGCAGGCCUAAUACAUGCAAG
rnacentral:rRNA from 1 species